rnacentral:rRNA from 1 species
UGUCAGCAGCCGCGGUAAUACGGAGGGUGCAAGCGUUAUCCGGAAUCAUUGGGUGUAAAGGGUCCGCAGGCGGGCGUAUAAGUCAGUGGUGAAAUCCUGCAGCUUAACUGCAGAACUGCCAUUGAUACUGUACGUCUUGAAUUCGGUCGAAGUGGGCGGAAUGUGUAGUGUAGCGGUGAAAUGCAUAGAUAUUACACAGAACACCGAUAGCGAAGGCAGCUCACUAGGCCUGGAUUGACGCUCAGGGACGAAAGCGUGGGGAACAAACAGGAUUAGAUACCCUGGUAGUCCACGCUGUAAACGAUGAUUACUCGUUUUCGGCGAUAUACUGUCGGAGACUAAGCGAACGUGAUAAGUAAUCCACCUGGGGAGUACGAUCGCAAGGUUGAAACUCAAAUAAAUUGGCGG